GACGAACGCUGGCGGCGUGCUUAACACAUGCAAGUCGAACGGAAAGGCCCUGCUUUUGUGGGGUGCUCGAGUGGCGAACGGGUGAGUAACACGUGAGUAACCUGCCCUUGACUUUGGGAUAACUUCAGGAAACUGGGGCUAAUACCGGAUAGGAGCUCCUGCUGCAUGGUGGGGGUUGGAAAGUUUCGGCGGUUGGGGAUGGACUCGCGGCUUAUCAGCUUGUUGGUGGGGUAGUGGCUUACCAAGGCUUUGACGGGUAGCCGGCCUGAGAGGGUGACCGGCAACAUUGGGACUGAGAUAGGGCCCAGACUCCUACGGGAGGCAGCAGUGGGGAAUAUUGCACAAUGGGCGGAAGCCUGAUGCAGCAACGCCGCGUGCGGGAUGACGGCCUUCGGGCUGUAAACCGCUUUCGCCUGUGACGAAGCGUGAGUGACGGUAAUGGGUAAAGAAGCACCGGCUAACUACGUG
rnacentral:rRNA from 1 species